GCCGCUUUAGCUCAGCUGGUAGAGCAUCGCAUUCGUAAUGCGGGGGUCACAGGUUCGAGUCCUGUAAGCGGCACCA
rnacentral:tRNA from 137 species